rnacentral:rRNA from 1 species
AACGAACGCUGGCGGCAGGCCUAACACAUGCAAGUCGAGCGAGGACUUCGGUCCUAGCGGCGGACGGGUGAGUAACGCGUGGGAACGUGCCCUUUGCUACGGAAUAGCCCUGGGAAACUGGGAGUAAUACCGUAUGUGCCCUUCGGGGGAAAGAUUUAUCGGCAAAGGAUCGGCCCGCGUUGGAUUAGGUAGUUGGUGGGGUAAUGGCCUACCAAGCCGACGAUCCAUAGCUGGUUUGAGAGGAUGAUCAGCCACACUGGGACUGAGACACGGCCCAGACUCCUACGGGAGGCGGCAGUGGGGAAUCUUAGACAAGGGGCGCAAGCCUGAUCUGGCCAUGCCGCGUGAGCGAUGAAGGCCUUAGGGUUGUAAAGCUCUUUCAGUGGGGAAGAUAAGGACGGUACCCACAGAAGAAGCCCCGGCUAACUCCGUGCCAGCCGCCGCCGUAAAAC